CCUACGGGUGGCAGCAGUGGGGAAUAUUGCACAAUGGGGGAAACCCUGAUGGAGCGACGCCGCGUGAAGGAAGAAGGAUUUCGGUAUGUAAACUUCUAUCAGCAGGGAAGAAAAUGACGGUACCUGACUGAUAAGCCCCGGCGAACUACUUGCCAGCAGCCGCGGUAAUACGUAGGGGGCAAGCGUUCUCCGGAUUUACUGGGGGUAAAGGUAGCGUAGGCGUUUUAGCAAAACAGAAGUGAAAGCCCGGGGCUCAAAACCGGGACUGCUUUUGAAACUGUUGAACUAGAUUGCAGGAGAGGUAAGUGGAAUUCCGAGUGAAGCGGUGAAAUGCGUAGAUAUUAGGAAGAACACCAGAGGCGAAGGCGGCUUACUGGACUGUAAAUGACGCUGAGGCUCGAAAGCGUGGGGAGCAAACAGGAUUAGAUACCCGAGUAGUC
rnacentral:rRNA from 1 species